AGCGAACGCUGGCGGCAGGCUUAACACAUGCAAGUCGAGCGGGCCCUUCGGGGUCAGCGGCGGACGGGUGAGUAACGCGUGGGAACGUGCCUUCUGGUUCGGAAUAACCCUGGGAAACUAGGGCUAAUACCGGAUACGCCCUUUUGGGGAAGGGUUUACUGCCGGAAGAUCGGCCCGCGUCUGAUUAGCUAGUUGGUGGGGUAACGGCCUACCAAGGCGACGAUCAGUAGCUGGUCUGAGAGGAUGAUCAGCCACACUGGGACUGAGACACGGCCCAGACUCCUACGGGAGGCAGCAGUGGGGAAUAUUGGACAAUGGGCGCAAGCCUGAUCCAGCCAUGCCGCGUGAGUGAUGAAGGCCUUAGGGUUGUAAAGCUCUUUUAUCCGGGACGAUAAUGACGGUACCGGAGGAAUAAGCCCCGGCUAACUUCGUGCCAGCCGCCGCAUUAA
rnacentral:rRNA from 1 species